rnacentral:misc_RNA from 1 species
AGGCCAAAGCGCCGCUGCUGCUCGCUUUUCUCCUCACGCAGGGCCGCUCUCGGUUUCUUUUGCUAGCACCGCUCGCGUGUCUCCUCCACGCUCAGUUUUGUCGACCCUUUUUUUACUGCCACCCCUCUCCCCUGGCAGAGUCUUCAUGCCCUCGCAGACCAUCGUCGUCGGGCCCCAGGCGGAUGCUCACGCCACCACAUUGGCGGCCGCACUGGAGCACGCGGCGCCAGGUGACACGAUUGUGGCCUGUGCCGGCGUCUUUGAGGAGACGGUUCAUCUUCCUUUCAACGUCACUAUUACGGCAGCGCCGGUACCGGAGGAUUCGGAUGACACCGAUGCCGCGCAUGCUACCAUCAUCGGCACUGUGAUCAUCUCUGCGAACGUAACGCUAGAUGGACUAGAGGUGCGUGGGAUGACGGAUGUACGCAAAGGGCAUGCCAUUCUCGAAAAGUGCGAUGUCCAUCACGGCUCUGAUGGUGUACGCGUCCAUCCGGGUGCCACUGCCACCGUGCGCAACUGCCGUGUGCACCACUGCAUCGCUGGCGGUGACGGCGUGUACUUCAUGGCCGGCUCGUUCGGAGAGGUGGCACAGACGGACAUUUUCGAGUGCCGAGUGAAUGCACUUCACAUCCAGAGCAGCGAGGCCGUGCUGCGCGAGAACCGCAUCCGCGACUGCACGUUCGGCGUCUACUACGAAAGGAAAGCGUCCGGGCUGUGUGAGCAGAACACCAUUGAGCACGUCCGCAAGUUCGGCCUCUACGUCACGGACGGCAGCGACCCGGUCAUCCGCGACAACACCGUGCGCUGGUGUGGGAUAUUAUGCUUCUUCGCGUCGAAGGGCGGCCGCGGCACAUGCAGCGGGAACACGUUUGAAGGUUCCCUUCACGUGCUCGCCGACUGCGUUGUGCACCUGGCGGAGAACCAUGUCAGUGGUACAGCAGACAUUGACGUGGCCGCGUCGUCGGUCAAGGUUGCAGGGUGAGGCUCUCAUGGUAGACCGACUAUUCCCAUGCACUGGUCGUCUUAUGUACAUUAUCCGGGUAAGCUACGCCCUGCGGGCCUGCUCUACUGUUGUAGUCGGUGUUUGCUUUCUUCGAUUGGCUCACUAAUGUUCCUCAAACUCUCAUAUGGAGGUCCUACCGCUUCUCCCUGGUCUUCCUGCGUGCGUGAGACGCGCCUCCUCUUUUGGGGUAGUCUCGGCUGCGCCCACCUUGCAUAAUCUUCUCCACCCUUGGCGGCUCCUCGAGCACUUUGGCAGUGGUGGCACAAGAAUAUGUGCUAGUGGGCUCGGUGGGCGUUGAUGGCUAUGUCGUAAUAGGCGUGCGCAUGUGUGGCUGCAUCUCUCUCCCUUGUUAGGCGCUGAUAGAGCAAGCCGCAGCACCCUGCUCCUCCUCUCACUCAGACCUCACGGCAACAGCUGCUGCUGCUCCUGCGGCGGCAUACGACUUUUCCCACCUUUUCCCUCUUUUCUUCCAUGGGGUCAUCCUCGGUGCCUUGCGUUCCCACGUUUUUGCGCCCUCUCCGUCUCUUUCUGUGUGUGUGUGUGUGUCCAG